rnacentral:misc_RNA from 3 species
GUACCUUCAAGCUCUGCUUGGUGUUGGGUGUUUGUCUCGCCUCUGCGUGUAGACUCGCCUCAAAACAAUUGGCAGCCGGCGUAUUGAUUUCGGAGCGCAGUACAUCUCGCGCUCUGCACUCAAAACGACGACGUCCAAAAGUACAUUCUUACAC